rnacentral:rRNA from 1 species
CCUACGGGAGGCAGCAGUGGGGAAUAUUGCACAAUGGGCGAAAGCCUGAUGCAGCAACGCCGCGUGAGGGACGACGGCCUUCGGGUUGUAAACCUCUUUUAGUAGGGAGGAAGCGAAAGUGACGGUACCUGCAGAAAAAGCACCGGCUAACUACGUGCCAGCAGCCGCGGUAAUACGUAGGGUGCAAGCGUUAUCCGGAAUUAUUGGGCGUAAAGAGCUCGUAGGCGGUUUGUCACGUCUGCUGUGAAAACUGGAGGCUCAACCUCCAGCCUGCAGUGGGUACGGGCAGACUAGAGUGCGGUAGGGGAGAUUGGAAUUCCUGGUGUAGCGGUGGAAUGCGCAGAUAUCAGGAGGAACACCGAUGGCGAAGGCAGAUCUCUGGGCCGUAACUGACGCUGAGGAGCGAAAGCAUGGGGAGCGAACAGGAUUAGAUACCCUGGUAGUCCAUGCGUAACGUUAGGUAACGUAGAGUAGUAGGGCGACUACCACGGCGUUCUGUGUCGCAGCUACGCAUUAACGUUCCCCGUCCGUCGGGAGGUACGGCCGCCGACGGACGUAAAACCGUUAAAACGUUAGUAAGUUAGUACGGCGUGAGACGUGCCGAACGGACGACCGACGAGGGAGGUAGG